ACUCCUACGGGAGGCAGCAGUGGGGAAUAUUGCACAAUGGGGGAAACCCUGAUGCAGCCAUGCCGCGUGUGUGAAGAAGGCCUUCGGGUUGUAAAGCACUUUCAGUAGGGAGGAAGGUAGUGUAGUUAACACCUGCAUUAUUUGACGUUACCUACAGAAGAAGCACCGGCUAACUCCGUGCCAGCAGCCGCGGUAAUACGGAGGGUGCGAGCGUUAAUCGGAAUUACUGGGCGUAAAGCGCAUGCAGGCGGCCUGUUAAGUCAGAUGUGAAAGCCCGGGGCUUAACCUCGGAAUUGCAUUUGAAACUGGCAGGCUAGAGUCUUGUAGAGGGGGGUAGAAUUUCAGGUGUAGCGGUGAAAUGCGUAGAGAUCUGAAGGAAUACCAGUGGCGAAGGCGGCCCCCUGGACAAAGACUGACGCUCA
rnacentral:rRNA from 1 species